rnacentral:rRNA from 1 species
AUGCAGAUCUUCGUGAAGACCCUGACGGGUAAGACCAUCACGCUGGAGGUGGAGUCGUCGGACACCAUCGACAACGUCAAGGCCAAGAUCCAGGACAAGGAGGGGAUCCCGCCGGACCAGCAGCGCCUCAUCUUCGCCGGCAAGCAGCUCGAGGACGGCCGCACCCUCGCCGACUACAACAUCCAGAAGGAGUCCACCCUCCACCUGGUGCUCCGCCUCCGCGGUGGCGCCAAGAAGCGCAAGAAGAAGACGUACACCAAGCCCAAGAAGCAAAAGCACAAGCACAAGAAGGUGAAGCUCGCCGUCCUCCAGUUCUACAAGGUCGACGACGCCACUGGUAAGGUCACCAGGCUCAGGAAGGAGUGCCCCAACGCUGAGUGCGGCGCCGGGACCUUCAUGGCAAACCACUUCGACCGCCACUACUGCGGCAAGUGCGGCCUCACCUACGUCUACAACCAGAAGGCUUAG